AAAAGUAAGCUGAACCUUUGGUAGGUAAGGGGUAUAUAUAUACACACACACACACACACCCACGCACAGAGCUUUAUAACUGCAGGUUGGUGUGAUCAGGUCUAUCACGCUGUGAUUCUUUUCUCCUGCUCAGAGGACGCUAGGUCAGACGCUUCGUCUUCUUCAGGCCUCCACCAUGUGCUUCCUGACCAAGGUGUCUGUUGUGACUCUGCUGCUAAGCCUGACUGUAGUCGCUGAGACUCCUGACGAGUGUGUCCAUCAGAACACGGCCCUCUCAGAUGCGGAUCUGCAAAUGAUCUUUGGGAAAUGGAUCCUGCAUGAGGCCUAUGCUUUGAGCAGCCAAGAUUACUUCAGCCAAGUACUGAAAAUCAUCAACAGCUCCCAGACUGAAUUUAUCCCUUCAGGCAACCAAGACACCGUCAUUUUCAAACAGACAACCAUGAGGGAUGACACAUGCACCCGAUUUUUAGUCAACUUUACUGUAGUUGGAAAUAAAAUCCAAUACAAGUCUACAGCUCGUAACUACACAUCUGAAGGCGAAUUCCUGAAGACCUGUGAUGACUGUCUGUUGAUGCGCUACACCACUGUUAUGGGGAAUGGAGAAAAGGGCACUUUUCUGCUGUUCUAUAAAAAGACAGAGACAUUGUCACAGGCAGAUCAAGAGAAGGUCAAGCAGCAGUCCAAGUGUCUGGGCUUCCUGCAGCCUCCAGAGUUCAUCUAUAAGCAAGCAGAGCUGUGUGCUGAGGAGAGUGAUGCCACCAAACCCAAAGAACCAGUACAAUAAAAGAUGUCUUUCAUUCUGACAAUAUCAUUAAAGUGCACCAAAAGAGACGUGAAUGCAUGUGUGGUUAUUCAUACACAGAACUGUCCAAUAACAGCAGGAUGAGGAUGAG
rnacentral:lncRNA from 1 species